GCUUGGGUAGCUCAGUAGGUAGAGUAGCAGACAUUGAAUCUGAGGGUCCUUGGUUUAAGCCCUUCUUGGGGUG